rnacentral:tRNA from 1 species
CUAGAUGUAGUUCAGUCUGGUAGAACACUUGGUUUGGGACCAAGGGGUCGUAGGUUCAAAUCCUACCAUCUAGA